rnacentral:rRNA from 1 species
GACGAACGCUGGCGGCGUGCCUAAUACAUGCAAGUAGAACGCUGAAGAGAGGAGCUUGCUCUUCUUGGAUGAGUUGCGAACGGGUGAGUAACGCGUAGGUAACCUGCCUUGUAGCGGGGGAUAACUAUUGGAAACGAUAGCUAAUACCGCAUAACAAUGGAUGACCCAUGUCAUUUAUUUGAAAGGGGCAAAUGCUCCACUACAAGAUGGACCUGCGUUGUAUUAGCUAGUAGGUGAGGUAACGGCUCACCUAGGCGACGAUACAUAGCCGACCUGAGAGGGUGAUCGGCCACACUGGGACUGAGACACGGCCCAGACUCCUACGGGAGGCAGCAGUAGGGAAUCUUCGGCAAUAGGGGCAACCCUGACCGAGCAACGCCGCGUGAGUGAAGAAGGUUUUCGGAUCGUAAAGCUCGGUUGUAAGUCAAGAACGAGUGUGAGAGUGGAAAGUUCACACUGUGACGGUAGCUUACCAGAAAGGGACGGCUAACUACGUG